rnacentral:rRNA from 1 species
AUACGGAUGGUGCGAGCGUUGUUCGGAAUUACUGGGCGUAAAGGGCGCGUAGGCGGCGAUGUAAGUCAAAUGUGAAAGUCCUCGGCUUAACCGGGGAAGUGCAUCUGAAACUGCAUUGCUUGAGUAUGGGAGAGGAAAGUGGAAUUCCCGGUGUAGAGGUGAAAUUCGUAGAGAUCGGGAGGAAUACCGGUGGCGAAGGCGACUUUCUGGACCAAUACUGACGCUGAGGUGCGAAAGCGUGGGGAGCAAACAGGAUUAGAAACCCCAGUAGUCC